rnacentral:rRNA from 1 species
UACGUAGGGUGCGAGCGUUAAUCGGAAUUACUGGGCGUAAAGCGUGCGCAGGCGGCUUCGCAAGUCAGGCGUGAAAUCCCCGGGCUUAACCUGGGAAUGGCGUCUGAAACUACGGAGCUGGAGUGUGGCAGAGGGAGGUAGAAUUCCACGUGUAGCGGUGAAAUGCGUAGAUAUGUGGAGGAAUACCGAUGGCGAAGGCAGCCGUCCUGGGCCGAACACUGACGCUCAUGCACGAAAGCGUGGGGAGCAAACAGG